GGAUACUUCUAAUAUUCCGAUUUUAGUUCGAAUCUAAAAUGAGAAU
rnacentral:tRNA from 1 species